ensembl:ribozyme RNaseP_nuc Nuclear RNase P
GGUGGACGGAAGCUUGCUGUAGAGGCCACACGCGGAGUACCCCGUUACUCGCCACGUCGCCUCGGGGAAGGUCUGAGACAAGAGCCACUGGCUGUCCUCGCAGGACACCGCUCGACUCGAGCGGGCGAGCGCACAGAAAACCCGGCGCCGCCGCGAGGGUGAAUUUGCGCAGGAGACGCCGCCAUUGCGCGGCCGAUGCGCCCUCGCCGGCUUGGAACCGCUCGCGGCUAGCGCGUGAGUUCGAUGUGCAAGCUGACGCAAGGCGUCAGAACCCAAUUCAGACUACUCUCCCUCCACU